rnacentral:rRNA from 1 species
GGACCCGCACAAGCAGUGGAGCAUGUGGUUUAAUUCGAUGCAACGCGAAAAACCUUACCUACUCUUGACAUACUUGGGAGCUCUUGUAAUGAGAGUGUGCCUUUUGGAACCAAGAUACAGGUGCUGCAUGGUUGUCGUCAGCUCGUGCCGUGAGGUGUUAGGUUAAGUCCUGCAACGAGCGCAACCCCUAUUCUUAGUUGCCAGCGGUUCGGCCGGGGACUCUAAGAAGACUGCCAGCGCAAGCUGAGAGGAAGGUGGGAUGACGUCAAAUCAUCACGGCCCUUACGUCCUGGGCUACACACGUGCUACAAUGGUAGAGACAGAGGGCAGCCACCUGGUGACAGGGAG